AGUCGAGUGCGCGUGCCGUAGCAAUACGGUAUGGCGCACGGCGCACGGGUGCGUAACACGUGGGCAAUCUGCCCUCCGGUGGGGAAUAACCCCGCGAAAGCGGGGCUAAUUCCGCAUAACAUUCCCUGGACUCUGGUUCGGGGAUUCAAAGCAGCAAUGCGCCGGAGGAGGAGCCCGCGCCCGAUUAGCUAGUUGGUGAGGUGACGGCUCACCAAGGCAAUGAUCGGUAGCUGGUCUGAGAGGAUGGCCAGCCACACUGGAACUGAGACACGGUCCAGACUCCUACGGGAGGCAGCAGUGGGGAAUCUUGCGCAAUGGGCGAAAGCCUGACGCAGCGACGCCGCGUGGGGGAUGAAGCUUCUCGGAGUGUAAACCCCUUUCGACCGGGACGAAUGCCCGCAAGGGAGUGACGGUACCGGUAGAAGAAGCCCCGGCUAACUACGUGCCAGCAGCCGCGGUAAGACGUAGGGGGCCAGCGUUGUUCGGAAUUACUGGGUGUAAAGGGUUCGUAGGCGGUGUGGCAAGUCGGGAGUGAAAUUUCUGGGCUUAACUCAGAAGCUGCUUCCGAAACUGCUGUGCUAGAGUGCGGGAGAGGCGCGUGGAAUUGCAGGUGUAGCGGUGAAAUGCGUAGAUAUCUGCAGGAACACCCGUGGCGAAAGCGGCGCGCUGGACCGUUACUGACGCUGAGGAACGAAAGCUAGGGGAGCAAACAGGAUUAGAUACCCUGGUAGUCCUAGCCCUAAACGAUCAGGACUUGGGGUGCCUUCCGUUCGGAAGUCGUCCCGGAGCU
rnacentral:rRNA from 1 species